UGAAAAUCUUAGCCGGUAAGAUCAAGCCCAAUCUAGGACGCUGGACUGAUCCAGUUCCCGACUGGACAGAUAUCUUGGCCUAUUUCAGAGGCUCUGAGUUACAAAACUAUUUCACAAAAAUUCUCGAGAACGAGUUGAAGGCAGUCAUCAAGCCGCAGUAUGUUGACCUCAUACCGAAAGCAUUCAAAGGAACUGUCCAAGAAGCACUAGAUAAGAAGAACGAAACGGGACGCCUCGAAGAGUUUUGCAAAUUGCUCGAACUGACUCCAGCCGUCAGGUCAAGAAACAUCGACGAACUAUCCGGAGGAGAAUUGCAGCGAUUUGCCAUUGCACUACUGUGUAUCCAGAAAGCUGAUGUGUACAUGUUCGAUGAGCCCUCUUCAUAUCUUGAUGUCAAGCAGCGUCUCAAGGCAGCCGAAGCUAUCAGAUCACUUGUUACACCCAAGAAUUAUGUGAUUGUUGUGGAGCACGAUCUGUCAGUACUCGACUAUUUGUCAGAUUUCACCUGUUGCCUGUAUGGAAAACCAUCAGUUUACGGUGUUGUCACAAUGCCUUUCUCAGUUCGUGAAGGUAUCAACAUAUUCCUGGAUGGAUUUGUGCCAACAGAGAACCUGCGAUUUAGGGAUACAGAGCUAGUGUUUAAGGUAGCUGAGUCCGCACAAGAAGAGAUCAAACGAAUGUGUCACUACGAGUAUCCUAAAAUGUCAAAGGCCUUAGGUUCCUUCAGUUUGAACAUUGAUCCGGGCACGUUCACCGAUUCUGAAAUCAUCGUAAUGUUAGGCGAGAACGGUACGGGCAAGACUACAUUCAUCAAGAUACUGGCUGGCGGUCUCAAGCCAGAUGCAGGUGACUCUGAUUUGCCCUCAUUGAACAUUAGUUACAAGCCUCAGAAAAUUAGUCCCAAAUCGCAGAAAACUGUCAAAGAAUUGCUGAUGGAGAAGAUAUUUGAAAUGUAUAGGCAUCCUCAGUUCCAAACCGAUGUGCUGAAGCCCUUGGAGAUAGAGAGAAUUCAAGAUCAGUUGGUCACCGAAUUGUCCGGAGGAGAGUUGCAACGAGUGGCACUUGUAUUGUGUCUUGGUAAACCAGCAGAUGUCUACCUGAUCGACGAGCCCUCAGCCUACCUUGAUUCAGAGCAACGUUUGAUUGCCGCAAAAGUUAUCAAGCGAUUCUUGUUGCACUCCAAGAAGACCGGCUUUAUUGUGGAGCACGAUUUCAUUAUGGCCACCUACUUGGCCGAUAGGGUUAUUGUAUUCGAGGGCGAGCCUGGUAUUAAUGCCAAAGCAAAAUCACCCCAGUCACUCCUUACUGGUAUGAACACUUUCUUGGACAUGCUCAACAUCACAUUCAGAAGGGAUCCCAAUAAUUACAGGCCUAGAAUCAACAAACUAAACUCCUUGAAGGAUGUUGACCAGAAACGAUCGGGCAACUUCUUCUUCCUCGAAGAGAACUAGGCCAAUCUCGACAAUGCGUCAUUCAAU
rnacentral:lncRNA from 1 species